GCCCUAUCCAAUCGGGGUGCUGGGGCGGGGCCCUGACAACUGUUUAUCCGCCGGAAUGAGGGCCCCGCAUUGCCAGUCUUCUCAUUGCCUGGCUGCUGGAGCCAAGCAGAGGUCGGGAUUCCUUCUUUUCUGCUCUGAGAGGGACCAGGUGCCUCCUCCGUAGCUUUUGUCUUUCUGUUGCCUGCGCGUGUCCUGGACUGCUCACGGGACUUCUGCAGGAGACGCCGGAAUAUCUGGAAGCUGAAAAAUGGAAAUAAAUGGAAAGACCAGAAUAUUGAAGAUCACUACAGAACUCUAAGUGCCCCUGGGUUAGGGUCUCCACGACCGGGAUGGUCUUGGCAAGUGGUGUACAUAUGUGGGGCUCGAAUCUGGGUCAAAGUGUCACCGGAGUAACAGUUGGAGAACGUGGAACUAAGCUGGAGGACACCCGAGUACUCCAAAGCAAUGCCCGUGGUGAGUAAGAAGGGGAGCUCGGAAGCAUCAGGGUAACAAUGGGACAAGUGUGGGCUCUGGUUCCUUCCAUCUUGUAACCUUUUCACACUGAUGAUGAGGAGGAAGGAGAGUAUAACGAAGUAACAGAAGAGAUGACAGAGCAGGUUUGUUUGCCAACUAAAGCUAAAGCGGCAAAGGAGGAAGAGUCCAUCCCUACCCUUCUGCACCCCCUCCUUAUUUUGAAGAAAAAGAGUGACCUGACCUGCCAGAUCUUUCUUUUCUGGAGGACACUGGGCGAAAAGUAGUUUCCCCAAUGACUGUUCGAGCAGCACCUUGAGCAACGGCUCUCAGUUCUAUUCAGGCAGGAAUUCACCAAGCUAGACGAGAGGGUGAUAUAGAGGCUUGGCAGUUCCCUGUUAGGAUACACCCCCCAGAUCAACAGGAAAAUAUUAUAGCUACAUUUGAGCCUUUUCCUUUUAAAUUUGGGAAACAGCAUGAGGGGCCCGUCCCAGGCCCCUUUCCAAACCAAGGCAUUUCCGGCUGAGGCCAUUCCCUCACCCCUGUACAAUAUCUAUCCCCCGCCACAGCCAGUAGUGCCACAGUAGAUGUAUGCUGCACAAAAGCUAUGAGUCUUCUGCCUGGGGAACCCCUGCAAAAAUUUCCAACAGGGGUCUGUGGACACUUGCUAGUGGGGACAAUCGGAUUACUUCUAGGUAGAUCUAGUUUAAAUUUAAAAGGAGUGCAAGUACAUACAGGAGUCACUGAUUCAGAUUACAAUGGGAAAUUCAAAUUGUUAUAGCUACUUCUGUUCCCUGGAAAUCACAACUCCUGAUUGUGCCAUAUGUGGAAAUGGGGAAAAGUGAAAUUAAACGAACAGGAGGAUUUGGAAGCACAAAUAAACAAGGCAAAGCAGCUUACUGGGUGAAUCAAAGUACUGAUAAAUGUGCUACCUGUGAAAUAACUAUUCAGGGAAAGAAAUUUAAAGGAUUGGUAGAUACAGGAGCAGACAUUUCAAUCAUUUCUCUACACCACUGGCUGUCCGCAUGGCCAAUUCAACCCACUCAAUUUAACAGAGUUGGAGUUGGUAAAGCCCUGAAGUAUAUCAAAGUAGCUAUAUUUUACAUUGUGAAGGGCCCAAUGGACAACCUGGGACUAUUCGAUCAAUUGUAACUUCUGUACCUAUAAAUUAAUGGGGGAGAGAUUUAUUACAGCAAUGGGGAGCACAAGUUCUAAUUCCAGAGCAAUUAUAUAGCCCUGAAAGUCAACAUAUGAUGCAUGAAAUGGGGUAUGUCCCUGGUAUUGGACUAGGAAAAAAUUUGCAGGGUUUGAAGGAACUGCUCCAAGCAGAAAGACAAAGUUCCCACCAAGGUUUAGGAUAUCAUUUUUGAUGGUGGCCAUUGUUAAGCCUCCAGAAACUAUACCUUUAAAAUGGUUAACAGAUAAGCCAAUUUGGAUAGAACAAUGGCAGCUAAGUAAAGAAAAACUGGAGGCUUUAGAGGACUUAGUUACUGAACAAUUAGAAAAAGGACACAUAGCUCCAACAUUUCCCCCUUGGAAUUCUCCAGUUCUCAUAAUUAAGAAAAAAUCAGGUAAACAGAGAAUGUUAACUGACUUAAGAGCCAUUAAUUCAGUUAUAUAACCUAUGGGGACGUUACAGCCAUAUGCAACUGAAUCUAGAAUUAUUGACUUUAAAUUUUUUGAGCCUGCCUAAAGGCCAGAUGCUAUCAGCAGCUGAACAAUAUCUACAGAAACCAGCUGCAAAGACAGAAGCAGAACAACUGGUUUGGUGGAGAGAGCUGAUAACGAAAAGUUGGGAAAUAGGUGAAAUAAUAACUUGGGGUAGAGGUUAUGCUUGUGUUUCUCCAGGACCAAAUCAACAGCCAAUCUGGGUGCCAUUGAGAUAUCUAAAGCGUUACUAUGAGCCGGAUACCCAGGAAGAGGUUUUGGGAGGAUCCCAAAGACUCCCUGGUUGCAGCCAUGUCAAGACUGAUGCUGAGGAGGACCCCAACUGUCACGAGCAACACCUGUUGAACACAGCCACCUACCUGGGGACAGAUCAAGAAGCUGUCACAGAUGGUGGAGAAAAACCUGAGAAAAGCGGGACAACCAGUCACAAUGAGUAAUUUAAUGAUAGCUAUGAUAGCAGUGAUCACCAUUGUCAUGAGUAUUCCUUCAACAAGGGCUGACACAGAGAACAAUUACACUUAUUGGGCAUAUUUAUCAAUCUUGGCUGGCAACAAUGCCUGGAUGUGAUCACUCUAUGACACAGUUACACGUGCUUUCUGGUCUCAGUAUUUAUCAUAAUAAUCUGCUCCUAUAAUUGAGGCAUACUGCCCUCAAAAACCUACUUAUAAACAGGAUUAGACCUGGUCAGAAAAAAUGAACGUACUUCUUUGGGAAGAUUGCAUUGCAGAACAGGCAAGGUGCUAUGCAAUGAUUCCUAUGGAGUCGUUAUUGAUUGGUCCCCUAAGGGGAUGUUUAGCUUGAAUUGCACCUCUCAGUCUGCCUGCCACAGCCACACUAUGUUCAGCUGGUCUGAACAAAAUGGUCAGAUGGUAGAAAUGAUAAGUUAUCUGGAAACAUGGUGGUAUAGUGGCACCUCAACCUCAAAUGAUAUGGCCCACCGUAGGAGCUAAACAUAAGGAUUUGUGGAAACUAUUAAUGGCUCUUAAUAAGAUCAAAAUUUGGGAAAGGAUAAAAAAGCAUCUAGAAGGACACUCUAGAAACUUGGAUAUUGC